UACGGAGGGUGCAAGCGUUAUCCGGAUUUAUUGGGUUUAAAGGGUCCGCAGGCGGGCCUGUAAGUCAGGGGUGAAAGCCGGCAGCUUAACUGUCGAACUGCCUUUGAUACUGCAGGUCUUGAGUAAGGUUGAAGUAGCUGGAAUGAGUAGUGUAGCGGUGAAAUGCAUAGAUAUUACUCGGAACACCAAUUGCGAAGGCAGGUUACUAAGUCUUAACUGACGCUGAGGGACGAAAGCGUGGGGAGCGAACAGG
rnacentral:rRNA from 1 species